rnacentral:rRNA from 1 species
GAUGAACGCUGGCGGCGUGCCUAAUACAUGCAAGUCGAGCAAACGGACGAGAAGCUUGCUUCUCUGAUGUUAGCGGCGGACGGGUGAGUAACACGUGGAUAACCUACCUAUAAGACUGGGAUAACUUCGGGAAACCGGAGCUAAUACCGGAUAAUAUUUUGAACCGCAUGGUUCAAAAGUGAAAGACGGUCUUGCUGUCACUUAUAGAUGGAUCCGCGCUGCAUUAGCUAGUUGGUAAGGUAACGGCUUACCAAGGCAACGAUGCAUAGCCGACCUGAGAGGGUGAUCGGCCACACUGGAACUGAGACACGGUCCAGACUCCUACGGGAGGCAGCAGUAGGGAAUCUUCCGCAAUGGGCGAAAGCCUGACGGAGCAACGCCGCGUGAGUGAUGAAGGUCUUCGGAUCGUAAAACUCUGUUAUUAGGGAAGAACAUAUGUGUAAAUAACUGUGCACAUCUUGACGGUACCUAAUCAGAAAGCCACGGCUAACUACGUG